GGCUGAAAUUCGCCUUCAUGAAGCUGGAAUUGCUAGUAAUGGCAGGUCAGCAUACUGCCGUGAAUACGUUCCCGGGGCCUUGUACACACCGCCCGUCACACCAUGAGAGUUGGGAAUACCCGAAGCCUGUGAGCUAACUUAUAGAGGCAGCAGUCGAAGGUAGAACCAAUGAUUGGGGUGAAGUCGUAACAAGGUAUC
rnacentral:rRNA from 1 species